rnacentral:rRNA from 1 species
AUACGGAGGAUCCGAGCGUUAUCCGGAUUUAUUGGGUUUAAAGGGAGCGUAGGUGGACAGUUAAGUCAGUUGUGAAAGUUUGCGGCUCAACCGUAAAAUUGCAGUUGAAACUGGCAGUCUUGAGUACAGUAGAGGUGGGCGGAAUUCGUGGUGUAGCGGUGAAAUGCUUAGAUAUCACGAAGAACUCCGAUUGCGAAGGCAGCUCACUAGACUGUUACUGACACUGAUGCUCGAAAGUGUGGGUAUCAAACAGGAUUAGAUACCCUGGUAGUCCACACAGUAAACGAUGAAUACUCGCUGUUUGCGAUAUACAGUAAGCGGCCAAGCGAAAGCAUUAAGUAUUCCACCUGGGGAGUACGCCGGCAACGGUGAAACUCAAAGGAAUUGACGGG